rnacentral:rRNA from 1 species
UACGGAGGGUGCAAGCGUUAAUCGGAAUUACUGGGCGUAAAGCGCACGCAGGUGGCUGAGUAAGUCGAUUGUGAAAGCCCUGGGCUUAACCUGGGAAUUGCAGUCGAUACUGCUCGGCUAGAGUAUGGGAGAGGGUAGUGGAAUUCCCGGUGUAGCGGUGAAAUGCGUAGAUAUCGGGAGGAACAUCAGUGGCGAAGGCGGCUACCUGGCCCAAUACUGACGCUCAGGUGCGACAGCGUGGGGAGCAAACAGG